rnacentral:rRNA from 1 species
AAGGGAAACCGAGUCUUAACUGGGCGUUAAGUUGCAGGGUAUAGACCCGAAACCCGGUGAUCUAGCCAUGGGCAGGUUGAAGGUUGGGUAACACUAACUGGAGGACCGAACCGACUAAUGUUGAAAAAUUAGCGGAUGACUUGUGGCUGGGGGUGAAAGGCCAAUCAAACCGGGAGAUAGCUGGUUCUCCCCGAAAGCUAUUUAGGUAGCGCCUCGUGAAUUCAUCUCCGGGGGUAGAGCACUGUUUCGGCAAGGGGGUCAUCCCGACUUACCAACCCGAUGCAAACUGCGAAUACCGGAGAAUGUUAUCACGGGAGACACACGGCGGGUGCUAACGUCCGUCGUGAAGAGGGAAACAACCCAGACCGCCAGCUAAGGUCCCAAAGUCAUGGUUAAGUGGGAAACGAUGUGGGAAGGCCCAGACAGCCAGGAUGUUGGCUUAGAAGCAGCCAUCAUUUAAAGAAAGCGUAAUAGCUCACUGGUCGAGUCGGCCUGCGCGGAAGAUGUAACGGGGCUAAACCAUGCACCGAAGCUGCGGCAGCGACGCUGAUGCGUUGUUGGGUAGGGGAGCGUUCUGUAAGCCUGUGAAGGUGUGCUGUGAGGCAUGCUGGAGGUAUCAGAAGUGCGAAUGCUGACAUAAGUAACGAUAAAGCGGGUGAAAAGCCCGCUCGCCGGAAGACCAAGGGUUCCUGUCCAACGUUAAUCGGGGCAGGGUGAGUCGACCCCUAAGGCGAGGCCGAAAGGCGUAGUCGAUGGGAAACAGGUUAAUAUUCCUGUACUUGGUGUUACUGCGAAGGGGGGACGGAGAAGGCUAUGUUGGCCGGGCGACGGUUGUCCCGGUUUAAGCGUGUAGGCUGGUUUUCCAGGCAAAUCCGGAAAACUAAGGCUGAGGCGUGAUGACGAGGCACUACGGUGCUGAAGCAACAAAUGCCCUGCUUCCAGGAAAAGCCUCUAAGCAUCAGGUAACAUCAAAUCGUACCCCAAACCGACACAGGUGGUCAGGUAGAGAAUACCAAGGCGCUUGAGAGAACUCGGGUGAAGGAACUAGGCAAAAUGGUGCCGUAACUUCGGGAGAAGGCACGCUGAUAUGUAGGUGAAGUCCCUCGCGGAUGGAGCUGAAAUCAGUCGAAGAUACCAGCUGGCUGCAACUGUUUAUUAAAAACACAGCACUGUGCAAACACGAAAGUGGACGUAUACGGUGUGACGCCUGCCCGGUGCCGGAAGGUUAAUUGAUGGGGUCAGCGCAAGCGAAGCUCUUGAUCGAAGCCCCGGUAAACGGCGGCCGUAACUAUAACGGUCCUAAGGUAGCGAAAUUCCUUGUCGGGUAAGUUCCGACCUGCACGAAUGGCGUAAUGAUGGCCAGGCUGUCUCCACCCGAGACUCAGUGAAAUUGAACUCGCUGUGAAGAUGCAGUGUACCCGCGGCAAGACGGAAAGACCCCGUGAACCUUUACUAUAGCUUGACACUGAACAUUGAGCCUUGAUGUGUAGGAUAGGUGGGAGGCUUUGAAGUGUGGACGCCAGUCUGCAUGGAGCCGACCUUGAAAUACCACCCUUUAAUGUUUGAUGUUCUAACGUUGACCCGUAAUCCGGGUUGCGGACAGUGUCUGGUGGGUAGUUUGACUGGGGCGGUCUCCUCCUAAAGAGUAACGGAGGAGCACGAAGGUUGGCUAAUCCUGGUCGGACAUCAGGAGGUUAGUGCAAUGGCAUAAGCCAGCUUGACUGCGAGCGUGACGGCGCGAGCAGGUGCGAAAGCAGGUCAUAGUGAUCCGGUGGUUCUGAAUGGAAGGGCCAUCGCUCAACGGAUAAAAGGUACUCCGGGGAUAACAGGCUGAUACCGCCCAAGAGUUCAUAUCGACGGCGGUGUUUGGCACCUCGAUGUCGGCUCAUCACAUCCUGGGGCUGAAGUAGGUCCCAAGGGUAUGGCUGUUCGCCAUUUAAAGUGGUACGCGAGCUGGGUUUAGAACGUCGUGAGACAGUUCGGUCCCUAUCUGCCGUGGGCGCUGGAGAACUGAGGGGGGCUGCUCCUAGUACGAGAGGACCGGAGUGGACGCAUCACUGGUGUUCGGGUUGUCAUGCCAAUGGCACUGCCCGGUAGCUAAAUGCGGAAGAGAUAAGUGCUGAAAGCAUCUAAGCACGAAACUUGCCCCGAGAUGAGUUCUCCCUGACUCCUUGAGAGUCCUGAAGGAACGUUGAAG